rnacentral:rRNA from 1 species
UACAGAGGCCUCGAGCGUUAAUCGGAGUUACUGGGCUUAAAGGGUGCGUAGGCGGUUCCAUAAGUGCCUUGUGAAAUCCCAUGGCUUAACCAUGGAAUUGCUCGGUAGACUGCGGAACUUGAGGUCGGUAGAGGUCGCUGGAACUCUAGGUGGAGCGGUGAAAUGCGUAGAUAUCUAGAGGAACGCCAAAGGUGAAGACAGGCGACUGGGCCGAUUCUGACGCUGAGGCACGAAAGCGUGGGUAGCGAACGGG